rnacentral:rRNA from 1 species
UACGAAGGGUGCAAGCGUUAUCCGGAUUCAUUGGGUUUAAAGGUGCGUAGGCGGGCGAUAGUCAGUGGUGAAAUCCUGCAGCUCAACUGUAGAAUUGCCAUUGAUACUGUCGUUCUUGAGUACGCUCGAGUAGGCGGAAUGUGCCGUGUAGCGGUGAAAUGCUUAGAUAUGGCACAGAACACCAAUAGUGAAGACAGCUUAACGAGGGCGAAACUGGAC